GAAAUCUGCGCCAAAGAAGAGGCGAGGAUGUGUCCAGCGCACGUGAAGUACAAGGAAUGUCAGCUAUGUUGAUCUUGGGGUUACACCUGGCCCUAAAACGCAUGCCUGAGUUGAUUUCCGCAGCUACACCACUAGUGACGCGCUGACUCAAAAACGUCUAUUCCGCUGACUAGAUAGUCUUCUCGGGAAACCGCCAGGAGCUACCAGCUGGAGCUGGCUGCACCCUAGGCAAGAGGUCACAGUGGCGACUGCUCAAGCAACUCAAAGGAAGGUGGGGAGGAAAAGAAAACACGAUCCAAAUUUACAAAUUUAGGAAAACCUUUUGCCCAACUUGGAUUGCCAGGCGGUAUUGGCGGGCGCAAGGCUCAGAGUGGACCCGACCGCGAUCUUGAUGGCCGAGCCUCUGGCGAAUGCUUGUACGCGCGCGAGAACCCUGGCUUCAAGGCUGCUCUCGCGGCCGCUUUUUAGUCUCCAAAGGAGCCUAAUUUCGAUUUCCCGGCUAGCCUGAACUGGCUCAGGAGACUUUGUCCGCCUCGUUGACGGCUGCCUCUCCCCCUUCGCCAAGGCCGGAUCUGGGCGGUCCGUUCCCGUGUAUCUCCUUGGAACCUCUCUGGGGAAGGGAGUAGUGAACAACUCCCAGCUGCCGGUUCCAUUUGUUGCGCCUUUUUCCUUCGACACAAUAAAAGUCAAAUUAAUUGAUUC
rnacentral:lncRNA from 1 species